rnacentral:tRNA from 1 species
GCCUUUUAGCUCAAUGCUUAGAGCGUCUGUCCGGUUAUCAGAAGGUUACAUGGUUCAAUUCCCGUUAGGACU